rnacentral:rRNA from 1 species
ACGAACGCUGGCGGCGUGCCUAAUACAUGCAAGUUGCGCGAUGAAGAUUGGUGCUUGCCCCAAUUUGAAGAGCAGCGAGCGGGUGAGUAACGCGUGGGGAAUCUGCCUUUGAGCGGGGGACAACAUUUGGAAACGAAUGCUAAUACCGCAUAACAACUUUAAACAUAAGUUUUAAGUUUGAAAGAUGCAAUUGCAUCACUCAAAGAUGAUCCCGCGUUGUAUUAGCUAGUUGGUGAGGUAAAGGCUCACCAAGGCGAUGAUACAUAGCCGACCUGAGAGGGUGAUCGGCCACAUUGGGACUGAGACACGGCCCAAACUCCUACGGGAGGCAGCAGUAGGGAAUCUUCGGCAAUGGACGAAAGUCUGACCGAGCAACGCCGCGUGAGUGAAGAAGGUUUUCGGAUCGUAAAACUCUGUUGGUAGAGAAGAACGUUGGUGAGAGUGGAAAGCUCAUCAAGUGACGGUAACUACCCAGAAAGGGACGGCUAACUACGU